UGCUGCUGGUUUUGAAGAUGGAGGAAGGGGCCAGGAGCCCGGAAGUUCAGACAGCCUCUAGACACCUUCCCAGAGCCUCCAGAAAGAAGGUUGCCCUUUAACACUUUGAUUCUCAUCAGGCUUCUGAUCUACAUAACGAAAAAGAAACUUGAAGAUCUUUUGGUGAUUCUUUGGAUGGAGCUUGGAGAGAUGGGUAGAGAAGAUUGAAGGGAUUAUGGGAAGUAAGAGAAGAUGGAAAGAAGAUUCAAAAAGAGAGUCACUGGACACCCAUCAGAGGAGGACACUGCAUGGAACAGAGAGAAAACGAGAGAAAGGAUCCUUGAAGGAGGGAAGUGGAAGCAGGUGGUCAAUUAAGAAGCUACUGCAGCCAUCAAGACAACAGAUGUUCAUGCUGCCUCUGGCUGAGACGAUUGGAUGAUGUUUGCCAUCAGUGCCUCUAAGACUCCUCACUCUCACUGCAGAGGGCCCAGGUUCGACCCCUUGUCAGGGAAAUAGAUCCCAUAUACAGCCACUGA